UCACAUGAACUCUACAAUGUAGGCAUUAUUUGAGUCCUCAGAAUGUGAAAAUUGAGAGUGAGGGAGGGAGUUUGAGAGGGUUGUCAAAGGUCCCAGAAAAUGUGUGCUUCACUUAGAUUCAAGUUCAGCCUCACUGGUUUUCAAAGCAUAUUUCCCCUCCCUCCCUGCCUCUCUCCCUCCUUUUCUUCCUCCUUUUCUCUCUCCAUGCCUAUUUUUCAUUUUCCUUCUUUCAUUAAAAAAAAAGUAACACCCUCCAUCAGAUUUCCUUUAUGCCUGUUCCCUGUCCCAUUUCCCUGCCAUCUUCUUCAGAGGACAACUUUCAAAUGAGGUGAGAGAAUGUCCCUCCCACCCUUCGUAAUGCAUGCCCAUGGCCACAAAUAAUGUACAGAUGAGUUAGUCAGCUUUCUGUUAGGAUAACAAAAUGUCCUAGAUAGUCAACUUAAAAAAAGAGAACAGGCUUAUUUUGGCUCAUAGUUUUGCAAGUUUCACUGCAUGUUCAUUUGGCUUGUUGGUUUUGCACCUUUGGCAAAGGCAGUACAUGCUGGUGGGAGCACAUGGAGGUAGAAGUAGAAGCUGCUCACCGCAUGGUGGCCAGGAAGUGGGGGGGGGCACGCACGCGCGCACGCGCACACACACACACACACACACACACACACACACACUGGUCAAUAGCUCCUCCAGGACAAUCAACCAGGGACCUAACUUCCUCCCAUUAGGCUCCACCUCCCAAAGGGUCUACCACCUCCCAGUAGUGCCAUAGGCUGGUGGUAUACAUAGGCCUCUGAGGGACACUUAACCACAGGCAUAGCAAGUGUACUGCAUGCUUUAAACUUUUACAUAUGUGAAAAGGGGCUCUAAGUAUUAAUUUACAGAGCAACACAAAUGUUUAUUAAGCUUAAGAAAUGGUUCAGUACUUUAUUCAUUAAACAGCAAAAGAAAUUAAAAACCAUAUGGAAAGGAGUGUGUCCUGAGAUGCUGUUGUUUAAUAUCCAUCAAAUCAUCUGAGAGUUGGUAGCAGUAUAUAGAAGAGGCUGUGGGGGAAAGCACUCCAAAUUUGUGGGUGAGUAAAUUGAUAAUAAUGUCCACAGAAUACAAUUUGACAAUUUCUAUCAAAAUUGCACACAUACAAAAUUACAAAAGAAACACCAUUUCUUAUUAUUUGUAUUUGUACAUGUUCAAAAGCACAUAUGUGUGCUUAUUCAUUAUGGCAUUGCUCCUAAUAGAAAAGACCAGAAACAACUCACAUAGUCAUCAGUAGGGGAGCAAUUGAAUAAAUUACAUUGUAUCCCUAUAAUGGGAUCCUGUGCAGUAAUAAAAAAAGAAUGAAGGCACUCGGGCUGGGGAUUUAGUAGUGCCCCCGCCUGCCUUGCCAAGUGCAAGGUCCCGAGUUUGAUCCCCAGUACCAAAAAACAAAACAAAACAAAAGACAAUGUACAAAUGUGAAAACUUUCAAACUCUUAUUAAUCAAGGAAAAAAGCCAGAUACAGAACCAUAUAUAUGGUAUCUUUUGUGUAACAAAGGGGAAAAUUAAGCCUUUGUUAAUUUUUGUGUAUAUGUGCCUAAAGAAAUGGAAACUUUACAUGCAAAACCAGUUUUGUGUGUGGGAGGAAAGAGGGAAUGGAAGGAAGACUUAAAUGUAUUCCUUAAUAUUUUUUGAAUCCUGUAGAUGGGCUAUGUUAUCAAUUUCAAAAGUUAAAUUAAAAAGCCAGAGUCGUACCAUGUAGUACAAAUCAUUCUCCAACAUUUUCCAAUCGGGUUUAUGUUUUGGAGAUCUAUCCAUGUAGCUGUGUCCUUGAUUUUUUCCAUUAAUUAUGCUGCUUUAAACUGUAGUGUCUCAAGGCUGGAAAAGCUCUUGGAGAUCAUCUUGGCCCUGCCUUCAGUUUCAGGAGAGAAAAAUGAAGGUGCAGGUGACUCACUGAGGGCGGCGCAGCAGUCUUCUAGGAAAAAUGUUGUUUCAGGAAGAUGCACCAUGUUGGCUUUGUGGCUUUGGAUUCAUCUGCCAAUAGCAGUCUGGACCUGUGUGCACUGGAGUUUGAGAAACGUAGACUGGCUAGGUGUUGGUGAACUUUUCUAUAAAGGGCUAGAUAGUAAAUGUUUAGACUUUGUAAAUCAUAUUGCUUGUGUUACAAACAACCCUACUAUUGUAGCCAAGGCAGCCACAGACAAUAUGUAAAUUAACUCUCAUGACUAUGUUCCAACCAAACUUUAUUUCCAAAAACACACAGAUUUGGCUGAUGGCCUGGAUUUGGCCUGCAAGCUGUAGUUUACUGGCCCCUUAAUUAGACAAUAAAUUCCCAAAAGUUCA